rnacentral:rRNA from 1 species
AUGCUGCCGUACGCGACGGCCGGCGAGGCGGAGGCGGCGCUCGGCCGCGCCCUGACGUGGGCGGAGGCCGCGUGGCUCCGCUACUCGGCGUCGGUGCCGGACCGCUACCUCCACUGGCCCAACAUCGCCAUCACAUUGGUCGUCUACACGCUGGCGCCGCUGCCCCUCGCCCUCUUCGACCUCGCCGCGCCGGCCGCCGCCGCACCGUACAAGCUGCAGCCCAAGGUGCAGCACCCGCCGUCCACCUUCUUCCGCUGCUACAUGGACGCCGUUCGUGUCUCCCUCCUCAUCAUCGGACCAUAUCAGCUCAUCUCGUAUCCUGCCGCCAAGAUAAUGGACAUACGGACGGGACUUCCAUUGCCGUCAAUGGGGGAGAUAGCGGCGCAACUGACGGUAUACUUCUUGGUGGAAGACUAUCUGAACUAUUGGCUCCAUCGGCUCUUGCACACUAAAUGGGGCUAUGAAAAGAUCCACCAUGUUCACCAUGAGUUCACGGCUCCCAUGGCAUAUGCUGCAUGGUACGGACACUGGGCUGAGAUGCUCAUCCUUGCGGUGCCCUCCUUGGCUGGCCCUGCUCUUGUCCCAUGCCAUGUUACCACGUUGUGGAUCUGGUUUGCUGCACGCUUGGUUGAGAGCCUCAACAUACAUAGCGGAUUUAAGUUGCCAUUCAACGCUGAGAAGUAUAUACCGUUCUAUGGAGGGGCAGAGCACCAUGACUACCAUCACUAUAUAGGAGGACAGAGCAAGAGCAACUUCGCUCCUGUUUUCACCUACUGUGAUUAUAUUUAUGGAACGGACAAGGGCUACAGAUAUCACAAGGCAACUCUGGCAAAGCUGAAGGAGUUGGCAGGCAGCGACGUUCAGAAAGGAGUCGACAAUGGAUUCAACGGUGGAAAGCAGGACUAG